rnacentral:rRNA from 1 species
GAUGAACGCUGGCGGCGUGCCUAAUACAUGCAAGUAGAACGCUGAAGGAGGAGCUUGCUCUUCUGGAUGAGUUGCGAACGGGUGAGUAACGCGUAGGUAACCUGCCUGGUAGCGGGGGGUAACUAUUGGAAACGAUAGCUAAUACCGCAUAACAGUAGAUAUUGCAUGAUAUCUGCUUGAAAGGGGCAAUUGCUCCACUACCAGAUGGACCUGCGUUGUAUUAGCUAGUUGGUGAGGUAACGGCUCACCAAGGCGACGAUACAUAGCCGACCUGAGAGGGUGAUCGGCCACACUGGGACUGAGACACGGCCCAGACUCCUACGGGAGGCAGCAGUAGGGAAUCUUCGGCAAUGGACGGAAGUCUGACCGAGCAACGCCGCGUGAGUGAAGAAGGUUUUCGGAUCGUAAAGCUCUGUUGUAAGAGAAGAACGAGUGUGAGAGUGGAAAGUUCACACU